UGGUUUAGUGGCGGACGGGUGAGUAACACGUGAGCAACCUGCCUUUCAGAGGGGGAUAACAGUUGGAAACGACUGCUAAUACCGCAUAACGUUGUAAAAGGGCAUCCAUUUACAACCAAAAGAGAAAUCUGCUGAAAGAUGGGCUCGCGGCCGAUUAGAUAGUAGGCGGGGUAACGGCCCACCUAGUCAACGAUCGGUAGCCGGACUGAGAGGUUGAACGGCCACAUUGGGACUGAGACACGGCCCAGACUCCUACGGAAGGCAGCAG
rnacentral:rRNA from 1 species